rnacentral:rRNA from 1 species
AGACGGAGGGCGCAAGCGUUGUUCGGAAUUACUGGGCGUAAAGGGCAGGUAGGUGGUCUGUUAAGUCUUCUGUGAAAAUCCGGGGCUCAACCCCGCGAAAUGCAGGUGAAACUGGCAGACUUGAGACCGGUAGAGGCUAGCGGAAUUCCUGGUGUAGCGGUGGAAUGCGUAGAUAUCAGGAAGAACACCUGUGGCGAAGGCGGCUAGCUGGGCCGGUUCUGACACUAAACUGCGAAAGCGUGGGGAGCAAACAGGAUUAGAUACCCCGGUAGUCC